AAAAUUUUAGUUUAAUGAAAAUUAUUUAUUUACAAUAAAUGGAUUAAUAUGUUUAUUAAAAUUUUA
rnacentral:tRNA from 1 species